rnacentral:rRNA from 1 species
CAAACGACUCUCGGCAACGGAUAUCUCGGCUCGUGCAUCGAUGAAGAACGUAGCGAAAUGCGAUACUUGGUGUGAAUUGCAGAAUCCCGUGAACCAUCGAGUUUUUGAACGCAAGUUGCGCCCGAAGCCAUUCGGCCAAGGGCACGUCUGCCUGGGCGUCACGC